AGUCGCGCGUGAAAGCGUCUUCGGAUGUGAGUAAAGCGGCGGACGGGUGAGUAACACGUAAUCAAGCUGCCCCCCAGACCGGGAUAACAGCGGGAAACCGAGGCUAAUACCGGAUGGUCAGCGGUGUCGCAUGGCAUUGCGUGUAAAGGUGGGGAUCCUUCGGGACCUACUGCUGGGGGAGGCGGUUGCGGCCUAUCAGUUUGUUGGUGAGGUAACGGCUCACCAAGACGGCGACGGGUAGCAGGCCUGAGAGGGUGGUCUGUCACACUGGGACUGAGACACUGCCCAGACUCCUACGGGAGGCUGCAGUCGAGAAUCUUCCGCAAUGGGCGAAAGCCUGACGGAGCGACGCCGCGUGUAGGAAGAAGGCCCUUGGGUUGUAAACUACUGUCACGAGUCAUGAAUGCUGCGUAUCCAAUAGGUGCGUAGUUGACGUAAGCUCGAGAGGAAGCACCGGCUAACUCUGUGCCAGCAGCCGCGGUAAUACAGAGGGUGCAAACGUUGUUCGGAAUCACUGGGCAUAAAGCGCACGUAGGCGGCCAAGUAAGUCUGGAGUGAAAGCCCCCGGCUCACCCGGGGAGGGUCUUUGGAUACUGCUUGGCUCGAGGAUGGUAGGGGACAGUGGAACUCCUGGUGGAGCGGUGAAAUGCGUAGAUAUCAGGAGGAACACCGGAGGCGAAGGCGACUGUCUGGUCCAUUUCUGACGCUGAGGUGCGAAAGCCAGGGUAGCGAACGGGAUUAGAUACCCCGGUAGUCCUGGCCGUAAACGAUGAGCACUAGCUGGACGGCGUA
rnacentral:rRNA from 1 species